rnacentral:misc_RNA from 1 species
GCAAACUUGGUCAUUUAGAGGAAGUAAAAGUCGUAACAAGGUUUCCGUAGGUGAACCUGCGGAAGGAUCAUUAUCGAAUGAAACUGAGUAAAGUUGUAGCUGGCUUCAGGAAUUUGGAGCAUGUGCACACUUUGCUUGUUCUUCCAACCUUCACACUUUUGUGCACUUCUCAUGGGAUCAAGUUGUGGUAUGAAAUACAACCGUCAGCUGUUCUCGUGUGUUUUUCAAAAACAUACAUCUGUUUGUUCAAGGAAUGUCAUACGUUUGUGCAUCAUUGCAUGUAAAUACAACUUUCAGCAACGGAUCUCUUGGCUCUCGCAUCGAUGAAGAACGCAGC